UACGUAGGGUGCGAGCGUUAAUCGGAAUUACUGGGCGUAAAGCGUGCGCAGGCGGUUGUGCAAGACAGAUGUGAAAUCCCCGGGCUCAACCUGGGAACUGCAUUUGUGACUGCACGGCUGGAGUGCGGCAGAGGAGAAUGGAAUUCCUGGUGUAGCGGUGAAAUGCGCAGAUAUCAGGAAGAACACCCGUGGCUAAGGCGGUUCUCUAGUACGGUACUGACGCUGAGACGCGAAAGCGUGGGGAGCGAACAGG
rnacentral:rRNA from 1 species